AGGCACAUUGUGAUCCCCAAGGCUCUAGUAUUUCUCAGCAUCUUUGGCCAGAGGUUGUGCUUUUCUCUUCCUGUGAAAUGUAUGUUACCAUAUGUCUAUAGGUGUUAAUGUUCCGUAGGACAGAACUCUAGGGUCUGUGAGACUUAGAGGCCAUUUACAGUCCAGCAGAGGAGGGGCAUUAGGGAAGGUGCAGAAGGCAUUGUUCCCGCAGUGUGCACACAGGAAACCAGCCCGAGGAGAAUGGAAUGCCUUUGCAAAUAUCUAAUGUUUGCUUGGCACAGCUUGUUCAGUUGAGCUUUGCAAAAUCUUCCUCAGCCUUUGUUUUCCUGGUUUCUGUGGAACGAGUUCAUGUCUCAAGGCAAGUUGGGGCUGGGCUGGCUGGAAACCGCUGAGGAAUUAGAACCCCUCAGACGAGAAGCGGCUCUUUGGUAAAGGCUGAGCUGAGUCCCUCAACACAGUGUGCACAUGAGCAGGUGACAGCUUGGAGAAGAUGGAGCUCCCUGGGCCUUGGGCAGCUGCAGCUGUGCUCUUUCUUCAUCAAGACGCCUCUCCAGUUUCUACUCUGGCUUCGUUGGGCUGGAUUCAAAGAGAAUGAGCUCUUACCCUUGUAUCCUCUUAGAGAUAAUAAUAAUUUUUAAUGGAUGUCUUCCA